rnacentral:lncRNA from 1 species
GGCACCUAGGACAGGGACGUGAGUGAAGGUCUGCUGGAGCAGAGAAACUGACACUGACAAGAAGAACGAGAAUGAGAAACCCUGCGACGAGUCUGCUGACAGCUAAUAUAAGUCUGCAAAAUCAGCUGGACCACCAAACGGCAAUUGAGAGCUGCACAACCUGCAAUUACCUUUAUUCAAUUAAUGCAAAAACAAAAAUGGGGAGAUGUUACAGGCCGAAAGAAUGAAGGUCGUGACCAACUCAGUAUACCACUGAAGGCUAUAUGAGCAAACAGAAAACUGUUCUCAUGAAAGCAGGAUGUUGGAAAACUAACAACUGUGUCUGCCGCCAGAAGGGUUGCUGAGGGCAGUCAUGCCCCAAGCGCAGUGUUCCUUGUGAUUAUCUAUAGUAACAUCUGAAGCCUGUUGUACAAAGGAAGCAAUUAUGUGUACCUGUGAUAAAUCAAGCAGCUGACCAACUGUUACCUCUCCCUCCCUGCUCUUUCUACCUAAUAAAUAUGAAGGGCUGUAGAAGCUCAGGGCCCUUGCCCACUAGAAGCAAGGAGUCCCCUGACCCCUUCUUCCAAAAAUACUCUUUUUGUCUUUGUCUUCAUUUCUGCAUUCGUCCCCCUUCGUUCACUCCCAUAGCAACCAACAGCAACAUGAGCCACCAUCACACCCGGCAACAUUUUCUUAAAAAUUACAUUUUACUUUGCUUUGUCUCACAUUACACUUAUGUCAACAUCUUCUCAUCUUUCCAAAGAGUUUCACUAGUAACUGCCUGUUGAAAGCUGGCAGUCUCAAACUUCAAGCAUGAUUCUGUAAGCCAAAGCUGAAUUAGAAAAUACAAAGCUUAAGAAAAUCU